rnacentral:rRNA from 1 species
CCUACGGGAGGCAGCAGUGAGGAAUAUUGGUCAAUGGGCGGAAGCCUGAACCAGCCAAGUAGCGUGCAGGAUGACGGCCCUACGGGUUGUAAACUGCUUUUAUCCGGGAAUAACGCGCCUUACGUGUAGGGCUUUGCAUGUACCGUAUGAAUAAGGAUCGGCUAAUUCCGUGCCAGCAGCCGCGGUAAUACGGAAGGUCCGGGCGUUAUCCGGAUUUAUUGGGUUUAAAGGGGGCGCAGGCGGCAUGUUAAGGGUGCUGUGAAAUGUCCGGGCUCAACCCGGGCCUUGCAGCGCGAACUGGCGUGCUAGAGUCGGCGGAAAGCAGGCGGAAUGCGUGGUGUAGCGGUGAAAUGCUUAGAUAUGACGAAGAACUCCGAUUGCGAAGGCAGCUUGCUGCAGCGGAACUGACGCUGAUGCUCGAAAGCGCGGGUAUCGAACAGGAUUAGAUACCCCUGUAGUC